rnacentral:lncRNA from 1 species
GGUAGAUUCAAAACCAUUUUUUUAAGAAAAUGAAGUCACAGCCACGUGUGGUGGUGAUCACUACCAAAUGAAGAUUUUUAUGAGGCAAUCGAGUACAAGCAAGUAGCUUUGGGAAAAGAGGAUAAAAGCUAAAAUGGCCCUCGAUUUCACAAAAGGAGCCCCGAUGGACAGCCACCAAAGGAAGUGCAUUCAUAAAGCUUUCUACCUGAGCAUGUCUUGAGAAUCUUCUAAAGUAUUCCCAUUAAUUCAAGGGUCAAAAGUGGGAGGCGGAGGUGAUCCGAAGGUAGAGAAGAAAAGGGAUGUGCGUAAUGAUGAAGAGAGGGAAGGAAGCUUCAAAUUUUGACAGUUUCUUGUCUGUGUGAUAGUGCUUUGAAGCUUCAAGGUCGUGUGGAUCCCUAGUGGCCCAAUCAAUCCCUGCGCACUCAAAAUAGUAUUUGAAAUAGGACACUGACAUGGAUUUAAGGUUAGGUGGAUGGAACUUAGAAUUUGGAAUUUGUAGAGGUAAGGAAAAGAAGAAAAAUGUCUCUGGGCGACAGAACUGUCAAAGAACAUGAAAACCACACAAGUGGGGUUCAGGCGCAUUGAGCAUCCUUCAUAAUUGGCUAAGAUAGGCCAACUCUGUGUAAACAAUAUUCCUAUUCUAUGCUAUCUUCUACUUUUUAAGGGAACUGAAGGGCCUAAGCUGAUCGCUUGUUUCAGGAUGUCACUGGGCAGCUCUUUUUCGGUGUGUACAGCUUAGUUCUUUCUUCUUCUUUUUUUUCCCUGGCUUGGGCCACUUUUUAUACCAUAAAAACAUAUGGCUGGUGUGAAUCUUGUCAAUCAAACAUAGAAUAAACCUUGCUUAAAUCUUACCUAAGUCUGAAGAUCUCGAUUUCGUGUCGCGGAGAAGAGUAGAAUUUUGGAUGCAAAAGAUAGUUUCUCUGCUGUUUUUUCCAAUAAAAUUGCUGUUAGAUUUAUUCCCUUG